AAAAAGAAUAAAAACUUUUUAAUAAAAGGACUAAGGUGUGCCUGCUGGCCCGGCAGGUAUUGGGGGCCGCGCCAUCCUGAACCGACCUCAGAGGCCAGGGCCACCUCCUGCCCAGGCUGGCAGAGCAUGGGGCAAAGCACAGGGCCUUUGUGGAUCGCCGAAGUCCUGCUCAGACCCCGGCCCAGUUCCCCCUAGAGUCCCCAGCCCAUGUCUCCUCUGGAGCGGACGUGACAGUCCUCGUACUCCGCAGGUUACUACCCACCACCUAGGAGUCCAGCAGUGUGCACGCAGGCUCCGUGCUCUGUGACCACCUAACCCCAGCACCCUUCUCACAGGCUGCGGGGCCCCCUCGCCCUCGGCCUCUCCUGCUGUCUCCACCCACGCCUGCAUCCACGCCCUCUCAGGGACACCCUCCCUCUCCUUGGCCCAGGUGCCCAGGACCUUAAACUAAAGCUGCACAUCUCGUAGCUCCUCUGGGCUCACAGUCCCCCCUGCCUACAUGACACUUCCAUCUGGCGUCUUGGCACGUCCCGCCCUCCCCCCCACCUGUUCCUCUCUCUGCCUUCUCCCUUCUCUGUCUCUCCACCCUGACCUGCACACCCUGAAACUCGCUCCUCCUCGAUCCUUCCAGCAGGCCAGCAAGUCCUGCCAGCUCAGCUCCACACCCACACCUUCCCACGUCUCCCCACCAUCCACGCCGGCUGUCACCUGGACCACCGUGGACCUCCCACACAGCAGUGGCACACGGGAGAAAGGAUAGCGACUGUGGAGCUGUGUCAGAGAGAAGGACCUCCUACCCAGGAACGGGACGGGACUGAACCAGCAUCUUGCAUCUCUCUCCUUGGGACCUGGGUGAGGCCUGACCCUCGCCACUCAUGGACAGCUUGCAGACGAGGACACAGAGACUCUGGAACGAUGGGGCCACACAGCUGCUGAGCAGUGGAGUCGGGAAUCACACGGUGUGCUCAUCUCCCAGGCCCACGUGUUCAAAUCCUCAGACAGACCAUAGCCAGCCACGUGCACAGUGCCACUGAGCCAGGUGGUGGGCAACCUG